AUACUUACCUGGCAGGGGAGGUACCAUGAUCACGAAGGUGGUUUUCCCAGGGCGAGGCUUAUCCAUUGCACUCCAGAUGUGCUGACCCCUGCGAUUUCCCCAAAUGUGGGAAACUCGACUGCAUAAUUUGUGGUAGUGGGGGACUGCGUUCGCCCUCUCCCCUG
rnacentral:snRNA from 1 species